ensembl:lncRNA
CACACACACACACACACACAAACGCACACAGGCAUACACUCUCUCUCUCACAGUGGAGGAAUAUUCUCCCCUCGGCGGACUAAAGAAGAGAAGAACCCUGGAUCAACUAAAGAAAACAAGCUUUCUGAGCGAGGCCGAUCGCAGAAACUGUGAACAGAGCCGUGCACGCCCAGAGAAGAUGGGUCGCGCUCGCACGCCUCCGCCAUUGAUAGGCGUUUCCUGGGAGAAGCAGCAGAGCCGGGCGGAUGGUCUGGCGCAAGCACGUUUUUCAAAAAUGAGUCCUGAAGCAGUUGAACUUCUCAUCGACCUCCAGAGGAAACUUCGUCAGAUAGAUUCAGAACCAGUCAGAGGGCGGAGCAGAGGAUCUCCACCCACACCGCCGGACCUGAUAGAGGUCUUCCAGAGAGCCACGUUCACCUCCCAGUUCCUAAAGAUUGAACCAGAACAAAAGAGGAACAUGGAUCAUGCUCAGAGGUUUUCCCAACAACUGGAAGCCUUGAAAAAGAGAACACCCAUGGAGGCGUUAUCAACCAGCGGAGUCCCAGCUGCCGUGUGCAUCGUGUUGGAGAUCGUCAUCGGAGGACUGGCGGGGCUUCCUCUGGUUGCUGCCGCAGCAGCAGCAGCUGCAGCUGCAGUAGGAGUAGCAGCAGGAGCUCUGGGAGGAGUCAUAGGAACAGUAGCAGGAGCGCUAGGAGAAGCAGCGGGAGCAGCAGUAACAGGACCAUUAGGAGCAGUAGCAGUAUCAGAUGUAGCAGCAGCAGCAGAGCAGCAGGAGCAGCAGCAGGAGUUUUAG